UUCCCAAAAAUAUUUGCAAAUUGAGUAGACGGGAUAUAUGUGUGUGUGUGCGCAUGCCGGUGGUCUAAGAUGGUUUAUUUUUCUUUAAGAAGUGGCGGUGGAAGUGAAAACAGAUCGAGAAAGGAACAGUUAAUUUUAUUUGAGAUUUAAAAUGAAAUAUUUGACAUGAUUUUUGUAGGGAGAAAUGCAAUAACUUCGAGACAAACUGGCAGUAGCUGAGCGUACUGCAAAGACAGAAGCACAAUUAAAGGAAAAAUACCAACUAAGAUUCAAGGUUUUGGAGGAAAAGUUUAAAGCAUCGAAUGGAAAAUCACGUCCAUCCUCAGAUGCAAGAGUCAUCAGCAAUGGGCCUUCAGUCUCUUGGUGGAGCUGAGAACUUCUCUAGAGCGUCCUCUAAUGGCUAUCUAUCUAGGACAAAAUCGAAUUUACAAUCUGGUUUCAACCGUUCCAACACAGCUACUGCAAUAUUGAAACAAGCCAAGAGUUCAUCUAGAUCGUUUGAUGGUGGUAGUAGAUUGCUAGACAGAUAUAAGCUAGUCCCAGAUGCAACUGGGAAAGAUAACACAAACAGUGCCAGUGAUCAGACUCAGAUGGAUGAGACAAUUGGUAGACAUGAGGAGAGGGCAAAUGGAUCUUUGGCUGAACAAUACAGGACAGAGCAUGUGGUAGAUUGAUAGGGUGGUGGGUUGUUGGAGAGAGAGGAGAGAAGGGUGGUACAGAUUAGCGCAUGUGGUAGAUUGUGAUCUUAUAAUAUUACAUAAACACCAUUGGCUUAUGCAUACUGCUUGAUUUGUAAAUUAUAAACAAUUUUCAUUUUUGAUAAUGUCCUCA